rnacentral:rRNA from 1 species
CCUACGGGCGGCAGCAGUGAGGAAUAUUGGUCAAUGGACGAGAGUCUGAACCAGCCAAGUCGCGUGAAGGAUGACUGCCCUAUGGGUUGUAAACUUCUUUUAUAAAGGAAUAAAACGAGGCACGUGUGCCUGUUUGCAUGUACUUUAUGAAUAAGGAUCGGCUAACUCCGUGCCAGCAGCCGCGGUAAUACGGAGGAUGCGAGCGUUAUCCGGAUUUAUUGGGUUUAAAGGGAGCGUAGAUGGGUUGUUAAGUCAGUUGUGAAAGUUUGGGGCUCAACCGUAAAAUUGCAAUUGAUACUGGCAGUCUUGAGUACAGUUGAGGUAGGCGGAAUUCGUGGUGUAGCGGUGAAAUGCUUAGAUAUCACGAAGAACCCCGAUUGCGAAGGCAGCUUACUAAACUGUGACUGACAUUGAUGCUCGAAAGUGUGGGUAUCAAACAGGAUUAGAUACCCUUGUAGUC